rnacentral:rRNA from 1 species
AUUCCAGCUCCAAUAGCGUAUAUUAAAGUUGUUGCGGUUAAAAAGCUCGUAGUUGGAGUUCUGCCAGGUGCCACCUGUCCGCCCCAGUGGUGAGUACGUGGUGCGCAUUUGGCCCUUUCAAGGGGAGCGUAUUUGCACUUAAUUGUGUGGUGCGGGAUCCUUGACUUUUACUUUGAGGAAAUAAGAGUGUUCCAAGCAGGCUCUCGUCGUGCAUAGCUCAGCAUGGAAUAAUAGCAUUGGACCUCGAUUCUAAGCUGUUGGUUGCCAGAAGCGAGGUAAUGAUGAAGAGGGAUAGUUGGGGGCAUUCGUAUUUCAUUGUCAGAGGUGAAAUUCUUGGAUUUAUGAAAGACGAACUUCUGCGAAAGCAUUUGCCAAGGAUGUUUUCAUUG